CACUUCUACAAGAAUGAGAAAUGCGUGGAAUCUCCUUUCCCUUUCGAGCACCCAUCCUUUCUCCCCAAAAGCUCCGCAAACGCUUCCAGUAGCGUUUCGCCGCAGGCGAGGUAGGUGCAGUGGUCCCUAUAAGC